GUGUUCCAGGUAAAUCCGGUUCACUUUAACACUGAGGCGUGACGACGAGGCACUACGGUGCUGAAGCAACAAAUGCCCUGCUUCCAGGAAAAGCCUCUAAGCAUCAGGUAACAUCAAAUCGUACCCCAAACCGACACAGGUGGUCAGGUAGAGAAUACCAAGGCGCUUGAGAGAACUCGGGUGAAGGAACUAGGCAAAAUGGUGCCGUAACUUCGGGAGAAGGCACGCUGACACGUAGGUGAAGUGAUUUACUCAUGGAGCUGAAGUCAGUCGAAGAUACCAGCUGGCUGCAACUGUUUAUUAAAAACACAGCACUGUGCAAACACGAAAGUGGACGUAUACGGUGUGACGCCUGCCCGGUGCCGGAAGGUUAAUUGAUGGGGUCAGCGCAAGCGAAGCUCCUGAUCGAAGCCCCGGUAAACGGCGGCCGUAACUAUAACGGUCCUAAGGUAGCGAAAUUCCUUGUCGGGUAAGUUCCGACCUGCACGAAUGGCGUAAUGAUGGCCAGGCUGUCUCCACCCGAGACUCAGUGAAAUUGAACUCGCUGUGAAGAUGCAGUGUACCCGCGGCAAGACGGAAAGACCCCGUGAACCUUUACUAUAGCUUGACACUGAACAUUGAGCCUUGAUGUGUAGGAUAGGUGGGAGGCUUUGAAGUGUGGACGCCAGUCUGCAUGGAGCCGACCUUGAAAUACCACCCUUUAAUGUUUGAUGUUCUAACGUGGACCCGUUACCCGGGUUGCGGACAGUGUCUGGUGGGUAGUUUGACUGGGGCGGUCUCCUCCUAAAGAGUAACGGAGGAGCACGAAGGUUGGCUAAUCCUGGUCGGACAUCAGGAGGUUAGUGCAAUGGCAUAAGCCAGCUUGACUGCGAGCGUGACGGCGCGAGCAGGUGCGAAAGCAGGUCAUAGUGAUCCGGUGGUUCUGAAUGGAAGGGCCAUCGCUCAACGGAUAAAAGGUACUCCGGGGAUAACAGGCUGAUACCGCCCAAGAGUUCAUAUCGACGGCGGUGUUUGGCACCUCGAUGUCGGCUCAUCACAUCCUGGGGCUGAAGUAGGUCCCAAGGGUAUGGCUGUUCGCCAUUUAAAGUGGUACGCGAGCUGGGUUUAGAACGUCGUGAGACAGUUCGGUCCCUAUCUGCCGUGGGCGCUGGAGAACUGAGGGGGGCUGCUCCUAGUACGAGAGGACCGGAGUGGACGCAUCACUGGUGUUCGGGUUGUCAUGCCAAUGGCACUGCCCGGUAGCUAAAUGCGGAAGAGAUAAGUGCUGAAAGCAUCUAAGCACGAAACUUGCCCCGA
rnacentral:rRNA from 3 species